rnacentral:misc_RNA from 1 species
UACGUAUGUGGCAAGCGUUGUCCGGAAUUACUGGGCGUGAAGCGCGCGUAGGUGGUUUUCUAAGACCGAUGUGAAAUCUCCGCGCUUACCGUGGAGAGGUCGUUGGUGACUGGGAGACUUGAGUUUGGCAGAGGUGAGUGGAAUUCCCGGUGGAGCGGUGAAAUGCGUAGAGAUCGGGAGGAACACCAGUGGCGAAGGCGGCUCACUGGGCCAUGACUGACGCUGAGGCGCGAAAGCGUGGGGAGCGAACCGG